GGUGUGUUUUCAUUAAAGCAGACCAUUGCCGUUAGCAGUUUUUCAUGAGACUUCAAUCCCUGGGAAUCUCUUGUGUUCUCCUUCAAGAGUGUUAAAGGGGUCAGUGGAAAAGAGCCACAAAUGAACACUGAAUGCAUGUUUUUGAAAUGGUAAUACAUCAUCCGGGAAAAGUGAAUGGGAGAAGCAGUGGUAGAAAGGAAUGUGAAAAAAAAAAAAAAGAAAGAAAACCGCUUUCUUCACAGAGUAAGACUGUUUCAUCUCAGGGAGACCUAAGGGCCACUCGCCAAGAGAAUGAUUUUUCUCUCCCCGUGUCUUCUGUCAGGAUGCAGACAUAAUUUGGUGAUGUAUUUGUCUCUUGAUGUGCUAUCUUAAGAACGAUUCUCCAAGGGAAAUUUAACCUACUGUGUCUGAUCAUCUUAACUCACUGCCAGAGUCUGUUCUCUGAGGACUUUAAUGCCCACAAAGCUGACAGAACCUUUCCAAUCAGUGAGCAGGGGCUGCUACUUGCUCUAGAAAUCACACAAAGAUAACUUCAAAGGACCCACGUUAAAAAAGAAUAUUAGGUCUGAAGAUAUUUGAAUGGUGCCUGAACCAGAGUCAGUGGACCAUUCCCUCCCUCACUUUAUAUUCUGCGCAGCUCUUGUUCAUUAAAUAUCACUGAAUACACCCAACAGCUCUUUAGGAGAUCAAAUGUCUGAAUGGGAAAGAUCAUUAAAAAGUGAUUUGUGUCAAUGAAA